rnacentral:rRNA from 1 species
UUCCGGUUGAUCCUGCCGGAGGUCACUGCUAUCGGGGUUCGAUUAAGCCAUGCGAGUCGAGAGGGUUCAGACCCUCGGCGGACUGCUCAGUAACACGUGGAUAAUCUGCCCUAUGGUGGAGGAUAACCCCGGGAAACUGGGGAUAAUACUCCAUAAGUCAGGAGUACUGGAAUGUCUCCUUACUGAAAGUUUCGGCGCCAUAGGAUGAAUCUGCGGCCGAUUAGGUAGUUGUUGGGGUAACGGCCCAACAAGCCCGUAAUCGGUACGGGUUGUGGGAGCAAGAGCCCGGAGAUGGAAUCUGAGACACGAUUCCAGGCCCUACGGGGCGCAGCAGGCGCGAAAACUUUACAAUGCAGGAAACUGUGAUAAGGGAACCCCGAGUGCCCGUACACGCGGGCUGUCCCGGUGUUUAAAACACAUCGGAAGAAAGGGCCGGGCAAGACCGGUGCCAGCCGCCGCGGUAAUACCGGCGGCUCGAGUGGUGACCACUUUUAUUGGGCUUAAAGCGUUCGUAGCUUGAUUUUUAAGUCUCUUGGGAAAUCUCACGGCUUAACUGUGAGGCGUCUAAGAGAUACUGGGAAUCUAGGGACCGGGAGAGGUAAGAGGUACUUCAGGGGUAGAAGUGAAAUUCUGUAAUCCUUGAGGGACCACCGAUGGCGAAGGCAUCUUACCAGAACGGCUUCGACAGUGAGGAACGAAAGCUGGGGGAGCGAACGGGAUUAGAUACCCCGGUAGUCCCAGCCGUAAACUAUGCGCGUUAGGUGUGCCUGUAACUACGAGUUACCGGGGUGCCGAAGUGAAAACGUGAAACGUGCCGCCUGGGAAGUACGGUCGCAAGGCUGAAACUUAAAGGAAUUGGCGGGGGAGCACCACAACGGGUGGAGCCUGCGGUUUAAUUGGAUUCAACGCCGGG